GGGCGUAUAGCUCAGACGGUUAGAGCGCAUCCCUGAUAAGGAUGAGGUCCGUGGUUCAAGUCCACGUACGCCCACCA
rnacentral:tRNA from 1 species